AGUUACUUGCUUGACAUGUGAGUAGACCUCCAUGCAAGUACUCUCGUUCGAUUGCGUUCAGUGAACUCAUUCUCUUAAUGAGCACCUACAUACUUGUCUUAGUGUCACAACACGAAUGGGAUGAGACUUUCCAUCCUUCCAUUUGAAACGGACACAGUAUGUACCGGUCUAAGCAUUGUCAGUUUCCCUCUGACAAUCCAAUGACUAGGAACCUUUUGGACACAAUGGUUAUGUGAAGAAGGUCUCUGUAGUCUAACUUCAUUAGAUUACUUCUUCAAUCGAUCCAUUGUCCAUGGAUACACUAUUUAGGACAUAUAUCGUUAAUUGAGAUAGUCCUAAUUCGUGUCUUUGCCAUUUGAUGUAUAAGAUUCAUCCAUACAUCGUUUCAUUUGUCCUGAAAGGUUUCUUCCAAAGAUUGACUUUCAGGGCAUAUUUCCAACAAUCUCCCACUUGCACUAAAGUCAAUCACUAGUGUAUCUUAUACAUCUUGUUGAGAGAGCUUAUGCUCGUAGGUUAACUUGGUUAUGUAUUAAUCCCUUUUAUUAUUUAAAAGGGAUUUUCUUAUCAAAUGUUCCCAAAAACAUUUGAUGAUGUCUCUUUAUUGUGUUCGAAUACUUUGAUGAGACCUUGAUUCCAUGGCUUGAGCUAUCGCCCCAUUACGUCGUAGUACCAUACUGACGACCUUAUGGUUUGGAUUCAAUCAUUGGUUCUAAAAGAACCUCUUCCAUUCAAAACACCUUUUGAAGCAGUUUCUAAAACUAUAUAUCGACAUAUAUUUUGUUUGUAUACUUUAUACAAACUUUGCUCCAACCUUGAGACCAUUGUAGUACAAUACUAAACAAUCAUUCAUAUGAUUAGUACUUCAUCCAUUAUGAAGUUCCAUUUGUUAAAAUGGCUUAUUUUCACUUUGGUUAACAACCUAAGUGAAUGCACGCUUCCAGAGUCCCACUCUGAUGUUUCUUUCUUAAAGGCAAUAAUACUCUUUCAGUUGCUUUGGUUCUGAUCCUGGGAUUUAGUAAUAUCUUAUAGUGACAACCCUUGUGGUUCUUCACUUUUGGAUAUCUACUUCACAAGUCAAUACAUGUGUCCCUUUUGUGAUUUUAUGACACAUUCAUUAUAAGGGUUAUGAAAGUGAUUUCCUAUUACAUAAGAAAAUGCUUUCUUAAAUCUACAACAUUUGAGAUUUAAUUCCCAUAUAACAUUAUUGAGAUAGCCUUGCUUAUAUCAAUAAGUCCGAUUUCAAGUCUAUACUUCAAAAUUGACCAUGUCAUGUUUUGUCAUUUCUCGAGUAACAUCUAUGUUUUAUCAAGUCUAUCAAAUAGACUUUAUUCACAUCUUGUUGCUCAAAUUAUGACAUCACUCCCACUGGCCUUGUUGUGACUUAGCAUUCAUUCAAAAAUAACAAUUAUAUUUUCUUGAUUUGAAUGCAUAUUGCUCCCACUAACUUAAAUGAAUCACACACAAAAGAAUUCCUUCUCAAGUAAUUCCAUUUGAAAUGUAUGACUUGUUCCAUUAAGUCUAUUCAUUUAAAUUAUAUGGUGUCAUACACCAUACUUCAAGUUUUAGUCAUACUAAGACCUUUAAUGUAGUCAUAUAAAAAUUAUCCAAGUCUUUAGUGGAAGCAUGGCUCCUACUAAGGAUAUAGAAACUCAACCAUUCCUUCUAGGUGGUUGAUAUAAUUCUUUAUAAAAACUACAUAGAGCAAUAUUGUUACAUGAGAUGUUGAAUUUGGUUUGUCUUGUUGUUAAACCAUAUGUUGUGACUCAUUUUGAAAUUUAUUCCCUUUUGUUUCAUCAACUUGUCCAUAUGCUUGGUUAUUUAGCUUGUUCUCAUAAAAGAGAAUUAUGGACAACUCCCAACAUAUAACCAUUUUAUGCUAGGUUGAUGAAAUCAACAUUCAAAGACUAUUCUUUAGAAUGUCACACAACAUAGAAUUUUAACGUUUUGAAGAGCUUGAGUCUUUUAACAAUUAAAAUUGCAAACUCUUAACAAUAGUCAAAUACUAUUAUUCUUUAGACAACUAUAAACCAAUCAUAUUCAAGUUUAUAUCCAUUUUCACAGCUCCCACUAUUUCUCAUGACUUUAAUGAGAAAUCAUUUCAUAUAUUCAAAAUGUAUGAAAGUGGAGUAUAUUGGAAGAAGACAUUGUGUAGUAGCUUUAAAACAUUUCAAGCUUUAAUUGUUUCAAUCUUCUCUAAGUUAAUGUCUUGUUAUUAAGUGACUAAAGUCUUUAAACAUUUUAUAGAUUUAGACACUUCUUUCUUGGUUUAAUCACUAACACAAUUGACAUUUUAAAACCUUUUAAAGAAUGCCCAAUUAGUUGUUCAAAAUUACUAAUUGAAUCAAGAGUGAUCUUGAUCAUUGUGUUUCAAGUGAUAACCAUAUAAGAAACGUUUUUCUUAUUACUUAUAUCAUUAUAAUGUGAUCUUCCUUUUCUUCAAGAAAGGAUACUCUAGACUUUUGUCAAUUCAUAUAGAACUCAUAGGUCGAGAAAUGGAACCAAAUCUAAAGAUUCAUUGUAUCCUUUUAUGUCCUACAUGUGAGAUCUAUCCAUAAUUGAUAAAUCUAAAGUUUGGUUAUCACAUUACAAUAAGUGAUAUAACUCUUGUAUCUCAACUAGGAUACAACAAGACAAUUUUCAAUUCAUAACACUACUUUAAGGAAAUAGUAUAUUAUAAGGCAUUCUUCACAUUACAUUAAUAUGAUAUUUCAAAUAUUCAUAAUGUUUAAUACAAAAAGUAUUAGCUCUAUACAUUUAGAGACUAAUAUAAAUA
rnacentral:lncRNA from 1 species